rnacentral:rRNA from 1 species
GACGAACGCUGGCGGCGUGCUUAACACAUGCAAGUCGAACGGAAAGGCCCCUUUGGGGGUACUCGAGUGGCGAACGGGUGAGUAACACGUGAGUAACCUGCCCUUGACUUCGGGAUAACUUCAGGAAACUGGGGCUAAUACCGGAUAGGAAUCCUUGCUGCAUGGUGGGGGUUGGAAAGCUUCGGCGGUUUUGGAUGGGCUCGCGGCGUAUCAGCUUGUUGGUGGGGUAGUGGCUUACCAAGGCGUUGACGGGUAGCCGGCCUGAGAGGGCGACCGGCCACAUUGGGACUGAGAGACGGCCCAGACGCCUACGGGAGGCAGCAGUGGGGAAUAUUGCACAAUGGGCGGAAGCCGGAUGCAGCAACGCCGCGGGCGGGAUGACGGCCUUCGGGUUGUAAACCGCUUUCAGCAGGGGCGAAGCUUGUGGUGACGGUACCUGCAGAAGAAGCACCGGCUAACUACGUG